UACGAUAAUUCGGGAAAACUAACACUCCAUCGCAGUUUACUUUGCGAUCAGAGGAGGUAAACAUCACACUUUUAUAAGAGUUUAUUAAGGAGAAAACACGUUUUUUCGUGAUAACUUUUCUUGCCGCCUUUUGUUUUUAAUGAAAAGUACACAUAAGUUGUAUCUUAUUAUUAUUAAAGUUUCCUAAAAAUUUGAAAGAAAUUGAUACGACGGAAGUUAAAAAACUGGAGAAAACACGCUUUCGUCUCUAACAAACUCUUAUAAAAACACGAUUUUUACCUCCUUUUUUCCGAUAUUGUAAAACGAUGGAGAGCCGUAGGAACGCAUGUACAAUUGAAUUAUCGUAAAGGUGUAUUGCGGGAAGCACCUCAAGUGGCUAGAAUAAAUGAAAGCAAUUGUAUGCUAGCUAAGUUAAAUGAAGAAGUUUUGAAUUUGGAAACCCUUUAAGAUAUUAAAAGGCUUGGAAAUGCUGGAGGGAAGUAUUGUUGCCACGUGUGCCAUGUUGUUGUCUUGAACCAAACCUUCAUCCUGCCUCUGCAAAAGACAAUAAAUACAUUGCUUUAAAGAAUAGAUAUAUUGAUGUCAGCCAUGAUGAAUAUUCUUCUGACAAUGAAAAUCACCAUCAAUUAAAGAAUACAGGAGAUUCAUUAUGAAUCCUUAUAAUAUUGGAAAACUGUAAACAAUGGAUAUAUCUAUAUAUCAAAUGGAUGGAUAUGAUAUCAAAUUAACUUGUACUGAUAGAAAUGAUUUUCACGUAAAAUGAUACAGAUCGAAACAAGAAUUGCAUGUUAAAGAACGUUCUGCUACAGACUGCAAGCCAAUAAAUAUGUCAUGUUAACUUAUGCAUAUGAGUAGAAUUUGUAUAUAUAUAUAUAUGUUGCUUUUUGUAUGAGAAUCUUCAGAAUUUGUCUAGUUACUAAAACUUUCUUAAAGAUUUCAAAGUAUUAAACUACUUUUUAAACAUAGUUGACAGAGGCAUGUGAGGGUAAAUAAUAUGCAGACAUGUUAUGUGUUUUGAUGUUAUUUUUCUGAUUUCUAACUCUUUUCUGGAUUAAUAAACUGCUUAACUUUUGUGAAAAAUUUUUAACAAUAAAAUUAAUGCUUAAUAGAAAUUGGUGCAAAACUACACCAGUAACCUUAAUAUUAAACUAUAUUUACUUCAUAAAGGGGUAACUACUAUAUACUUUUUGUAGACGUUUAUUAUGCGUUGCUAUCUUACACAUGCUGCUUUUGUUUUUGCAUUUGCUGGUUGUUAACACAGGCUGUAAUUUUCCAAACAAUAUUUCUACGUUGCACUGCUGUUGACUAUCUAUUCCUAAAAUUGUCUUGUAAUGUAAUUUUUUGUGGUAUUAUUAGCUAUUAAACUUAAAUAAAGUAACUCCCCAAAUUUGUAACUUGGCGAUUACUUGUACUCGUAUUAAAUGCGUAAAAAAUAAAAAAGAUGCUUAGAUGAUACCAGUGUGGUAUGUCAUUCAAAGGAACUGUCGCAACGCUAACCCUGUUUCGAGUCUAAUUUACCAAACGAAGUUUUCCAUCCGCAUGUUUUAGCGAGGAUACCAGUGUUAAACUACGGAGGUUACUUUUAUUUAUUGGGCUAUAAAGACACUUUCGUUUCUAAUCUAGGAAAUUUUUAAUAACUAAAAACCUCUCUUUUGGAAAUAUUUUAGCUACUUUUAUAAUAAAAACACAAAACGCCCGCUUUACCUCGUACAACACCACAACCCUUGAUAUUACUUUGCCAAAAAAUCGGUGAAAUUUUGCCUAACCAGAAAAAAAUUCUACAUCCGCCCCUGGUUAUUGCAGGGUUGUACGGAACAUUUGAUUUAUUGUAUAUAAAAAAGAGUUGACAGGUAUAUAAUAAUGCUUUUUAUUCUUUUGUGUUUCCUUGACAACAUAAUAAGUAGACUAAAUAAUGUUAUUUGGAUAUUAAGCAGUGUGUAGAAUGUUAUAGCGAUGUUAAAAUAAACCACGUAACAAUAUAUUAAGAAUUAUUUUGUGGAACCAAAGCGACAACGUAGUGGUUUAUCCAGUUAUCCAGUUUUUGGAUUUAUUUGUUCCGAAUUAUGUUUCAAAUUAUAGCUGUGGGGAACAUGUUAACAAUAUCGAAAGAUACCAAUUGAGUGUGAUCAGAUAAAUGCUGUAAUGCCAAAAGGAAAAUACUGGGUUAGGCAGCCAAUGAGAACAGACAAAAGAUAUUGCCGAAAGAAACGAUGGUGAAAGCAUUAGAGAACAAAGAAUCCUUACAACAAGUAAAGUGAAGAAACUCAAAGUCGCGAUAACCUAGAUUCACAGCAAGCAUGACGAAUUCAUGGUGGUUCUGUUAAAUUUAAAAUAUGAAAUUAUUGAUAGAUAGACAAUUUGUCAACCAGACCUUAGCUUUUGCAAUCUUAAAGUCCAAUAGACAAGUAAAAAUAAGGGCCUAAAAAUAUUUUUCCGUUCGACUUCCUUUUGAAUAUUUUUCAUUGUGUCGUACUGUAAAACGUUUGUAAUAUUUUCUUGCAUAUUGGGAAAAGCUUCCAAAAGGGAACAAAUCCAUAGUUCAGCUUGUUUUGAUUAACCACACAAAAAGCUUAGG